AUUGAACGCUGGCGGCAGGCCUAACACAUGCAAGUCGAGGGAUGAAGGGAGCUUGCUCCUGGAUUCAGCGGCGGACGGGUGAGUAAUGCCUAGGAAUCUGCCUGGUAGUGGGGGAUAACGUCCGGAAACGGGCGCUAAUACCGCAUACGUCCUGAGGGAGAAAGUGGGGGAUCUUCGGACCUCACGCUAUCCGAUGAGCCUAGGUCGGAUUAGCUAGUUGGUGGGGUAAAGGCCUACCAAGGCGACGAUCCGUAACUGGUCUGAGAGGAUGAUCAGUCACACUGGAACUGAGACACGGUCCAGACUCCUACGGGAGGCAGCAGUGGGGAAUAUUGGACAAUGGGCGAAAGCCUGAUCCAGCCAUGCCGCGUGUGUGAAGAAGGUCUUCGGAUUGUAAAGCACUUUAAGUUGGGAGGAAGGGCAGUAAGUUAAUACCUUGCUGUUUUGACGUUACCAACAGAAUAAGCACCGGCUAACUUCGUG
rnacentral:rRNA from 1 species